rnacentral:rRNA from 1 species
CCGCAUACGCUCGAGGAGAGGCAUUUCAUCUCGAGGAAACCUCCGGGGCAUUUCGAGGGGCUCGCGGCCUAUCAGCUAGUUGGUGAGGUAACGGCUCACCAAGGCGACGACGGGUAGCUGGUCUGAGAGGAUGGCCAGCCACAUUGGGACUGAGAUACGGCCCAGACUCCUACGGGAGGCAGCAGUGGGGAAUCUUGCGCAAUGGCCUAACGGCUGACGCAGCGACGCCGCGUGAGGGAUGACGCUCUUCGGAGUGUAAACCUCUUUUGCCUGAGACGAAUUGUCAGCUUUAGCUGAUUUGACUGUAUCGGGUGAAUAAGCACCGGCUAACUCCGUGCCAGCAGCCGCGGUAAUACGGGGGGUGCGAGCGUUGUCCGGAAUCACUGGGCGUAAAGGGCGCGUAGGUGGCCUGAUAAGGGUGUGGUGAAAGUCCGGGGCUCAACCCCGGAUCGGCCGUGCCGACUGUUAGGCUGGAGUACUGUAGGGGCAGGCGGAAUUCCGGGUGUAGCGGUGGAAUGCGUAGAGAUCCGGAGGAAGACCGGUGGCGAAGGCGGCCUGCUGGGCAGUUACUGACACUGAGGCGCGACAGCGUGGGGAGCAAACAGGAUUAGAUACCCUGGUAGUCCACGCCGUAAACGAUGGGUACUAGGUGCCUGGGGGAGCGACCCCUUGGGUGCCGGCGCUAACGCAGGAAGUACCCCGCCUGGG